rnacentral:rRNA from 1 species
UAGGGAAUCUUCGGCAAUGGACGGAAGUCUGACCGAGCAACGCCGCGUGAGUGAAGAAGGUUUUCGGAUCGUAAAGCUCUGUUGUUAGAGAAGAACGUUGGUAGGAGUGGAAAAUCUACCAAGUGACGGUAACUAACCAGAAAGGGACGGCUAACUACGUGCCAGCAGCCGCGGUAAUACGUAGGUCCCGAGCGUUGUCCGGAUUUAUUGGGCGUAAAGCGAGCGCAGGCGGUUCGUUAAGUCUGAAGUUAAAGGCAGUGGCUUAACCAUUGUACACUUUGGAAACUGGAGGACUUGAGUGCAGAAGGGGAGAGUGGAAUUCCAUGUGUGGCGGUGAAAUGCGUAGAUAUAUGGAGGAACACCGGUGGCGAAAGCGGCUCUCUGGUCUGUAACUGACGCUGAGGCUCGAAAGCGUGGGGAGCAAACAGG